CUACGGGUGGCACCAGUGGGGAAUAUUGCACAAUGGAGGAAACUCUGAUGCAGCAACGCCGCGUGGAGGAUGACACUUUUCGGAGCGUAAACUCCUUUUAUAUGGGAAGAAGAUGACGGUACUAUAUGAAUAAGCGCCGGCUAACUCCGUGCCAGCAGCCGCGGUAAUACGGAGGGCGCAAGCGUUACUCGGAAUCACUGGGCGUAAAGAGCGUGUAGGCGGAUUAAAAAGUCAGAAGUGAAAUCCUAUAGCUUAACUAUAGAACUGCUUCUGAAACUCUUAAUCUAGAAUAUGGGAGAGGUAGAUGGAAUUUCUGGUGUAGGGGUAAAAUCCGUAGAGAUCAGAAGGAAUACCGAUUGCGAAGGCGAGCCACUGGAAGAUGAGUGACGCUGAGACGCGAAAGCUUGGAGAGCAAAGAGGAUUAGAUACCCGUGUAGUC
rnacentral:rRNA from 1 species